rnacentral:rRNA from 1 species
GAUGAACGCUAGCUACAGGCUUAACACAUGCAAGUCGAGGGGAAACGACAUCGAAAGCUUGCUUUUGAUGGGCGUCGACCGGCGCACGGGUGAGUAACGCGUAUCCAACCUGCCCAUCACUUGGGAAUAACCUUGCGAAAGUAAGACUAAUACCCAAUGACAUCCCACGAAGACAUCUGAAUGGGAUUAAAGAUUUAUCGGUGAUGGAUGGGGAUGCGUCUGAUUAGCUUGUUGGCGGGGUAACGGCCCACCAAGGCAACGAUCAGUAGGGGUUCUGAGAGGAAGGUCCCCCACAUUGGAACUGAGACACGGUCCAAACUCCUACGGGAGGCAGCAGUGAGGAAUAUUGGUCAAUGGGCGAGAGCCUGAACCAGCCAAGUAGCGUGCAGGAUGACGGCCCUAUGGGUUGUAAACUGCUUUUAUAAGGGAAUAAAGUGGGUCUCGUGAGACUUUUUGCAUGUACCUUAUGAAUAAGGGCCGGCUAAUUCCGUG